UUUUUUUCUUCUUCUUCACUU
rnacentral:sRNA from 1 species